rnacentral:rRNA from 1 species
AGUCGAGGGGUAGAAGUCUUCGGACUUUGAGACCGGCGCACGGGUGCGUAACGCGUAUGCAAUCUACCUUACACUAAGGGAUAGCCCAGAGAAAUUUGGAUUAAUACCUUAUAGUAUAUGAUGUGGACAUCCACGACAUAUUAAAGUUCCAACGGUGUAAGAUGAGCAUGCGUCCCAUUAGCUUGUUGGUGUGGUAACGGCACACCAAGGCAAUGAUGGGUAGGGGUCCUGAGAGGGAGAUCCCCCACACUGGUACUGAGACACGGACCAGACUCCUACGGGAGGCAGCAGUGAGGAAUAUUGGUCAAUGGGCGCAAGCCUGAACCAGCCAUGCCGCGUGCAGGAUGAAGCAUCUAUGGUGUGUAAACUGCUUUUGUACGGGAAGAAACCCUGCCACGUGUGGCAGAUUGACGGUACCGUAAGAAUAAGGAUCGGCUAACUCCGUGCCAGCAGCCGCGGUAAUACGGAGGAUCCAAGCGUUAUCCGGAAUCAUUGGGUUUAAAGGGUCCGUAGGCGGUUUUAUAAGUCAGUGGUGAAAUCCGGCAGCUCAACUGUCGAACUGCCAUUGAUACUGUAGGACUUGAAUUAUUGUGAAGUAACUAGAAUAUGUAGUGUAGCGGUGAAAUGCUUAGAUAUUACAUGGAAUACCCAUUGCGAAGGCAGGUUACUAACAAUAUAUUGACGCUGAUGGACGAAAGCGUG